CUCAUGUACUCGGUUUGUGCCAGAUAUCA
rnacentral:piRNA from 1 species